UGAAGCACGUACGCCAGUAUGUGUGGAGCCGUCCUUGAAAUACCACCCUUGUAGUGUUGAUGUUCUAACGUCGACCCCUUAUCGGGGUUGCGGACAGUGCCUGGUGGGUAGUUUGACUGGGGCGGUCUCCUCCCAAAGAGUAACGGAGGAGCACGAAGGUGGGCUAAUCACGGUUGGACAUCGUGAGGUUAGUGCAAUGGCAUAAGCCCGCUUGACUGCGAGAAUGACAAUUCGAGCAGGUGCGAAAGCAGGUCAUAGUGAUCCGGUGGUUCUGAAUGGAAGGGCCAUCGCUCAACGGAUAAAAGGUACUCCGGGGAUAACAGGCUGAUACCGCCCAAGAGUUCAUAUCGACGGCGGUGUUUGGCACCUCGAUGUCGGCUCAUCACAUCCUGGGGCUGAAGUCGGUCCCAAGGGUAUGGCUGUUCGCCAUUUAAAGUGGUACGCGAGCUGGGUUUAGAACGUCGUGAGACAGUUCGGUCCCUAUCUGCCGUGGGCGUUGGAAGAUUGAAGGGGGCUGCUCCUAGUACGAGAGGACCGGAGUGGACGAACCUCUGGUGUUCGGGUUGUGUCGCCAGACGCAUUGCCCGGUAGCUAAGUUCGGAAUCGAUAACCGCUGAAAGCAUCUAAGCGGGAAGCGAGCCCUGAGAUGAGUCUUCCCUGAUACUUUAAGUAUCCUAAAGGGUUGUCGGAGACUACGACGUUGAUAGGUCAGGUGUGUAAGUGCUGUGAGGCAUUGAGCUAACUGAUACUAAUUGCCCGUGAGGCUUAACCAUACAACACCCAAGGGGUUU
rnacentral:rRNA from 1 species